GACAAACGCUGGCGGCGUGCCUAAUACAUGCAAGUCGAACGACGAAAGCCUUCGGGCAAGUAAGAGUGGCGCACGGGCGAGGAACACGUAGAUAAUCUGCCCUUCAGAGGGGAAUAACUCUCCGAAAGGAGUGCUAAUACCGCAUAAAACCACAAGCUCUGCGGAGCAAGGGGUUAAAGGAUUUAUUCGCUGAAGGAUGAGUCUGCGUCCGAUUAGCUAGUUGGUGAGGUAAUGGCUUACCAAGGCAAUGAUCGGUAGAUGGUCUGAGAGGAUGAUCAUCCGCACUGGAACUGAGACCCGGUCCAGACUCCUACGGGAGGCAGCAGUAGGGAAUAUUGCACAAUGGGGGAAACCCUGAUGCAGCAACGCCGCGUGAGUGAUGAAGGCUCUAGGGUCGUAAAGCUCUGUCGUAUGGGAAGAAAAAAAUGACGGUACCAUACAAGAAGGGACCGGCCAACUUCGUGCCAGCCGCCGCCGUAA
rnacentral:rRNA from 1 species